GGACAAGUGAGAGUCAGAGAGGUCAGAGGCGGCGGGUGCGCUCCAUGCGGGUUAAGAGGUACGGUAAGGGGUAAGGGGACGAGCGGUCGAGGGGGAAAGGUAGAGUAUCCGGCGGGGAGGGGAAGCAGGGAUCUCCGCCGCGCUCCAGGCGUGCGGGGAAGAGCAACUAGGCCAGGGGCUUCAGGGGCUCCUCCGUGAGCUCGAGCCGUACCAGCACUCGCUGGGUCGCGUUCUCCGGCAGGCUCUGCGCCACCGCGUCCUAAGCAGAGUAGGCGUAGGCGACGGCACCGGUAGGGCGCAACCGCAACGGACUCGUGCCUCGUCCGGGGCUGCGGAGUGGUCGAGGCACCAGGCCCGUGAAACGAAAGUGGCCGCUCGACGGGCACGGACGGGGGUCUACGCGCAGACGGGCGCCUCCCCCUUCUCAGCUUGUUCGUUCGCGACCAUCCCCUCCUCUGCCUCUCCUCCACCUUACCCCAAGACCGCCACCCCUAGUGGCGUCCGCAGCGCGAGUAGCAGCGGAAACGGACGACGUUCUUGAGGACGAGGCGCGCGGUCACCGUCGACCCUGGUUCCCUAUACACUUUAACUGUUCCUUUUCUUUUGAAGUCUUCACUUGUGGAGACUAUCUACCCUUCUUCAGCUUGGACUUCUUCACGUGACUUCUUAGCGUCGACGCACACCGGCCAACCAAGUCCCCUGCGCCGCCCGCGGACACGUCCCGCCGGCGCCUGCGCCCGCGCCGCCGUUCUGGCCCCAGCCCCAUCCGAGAUAGAGAGGACCCGUGACCGAUGUUAGCCGUUACCGCUAGUACGUGCCUCCGCUGCCUCGCCACGCCGCUCCAGCGGCACGUUCGUCCUCUGCGACAACCACCCGCCGCAGACUGUGGUCCAGCGGUAGCACGGUCUGCCACUCUAGCUCCAGUUCCCGCACCUCAACGGAAUCUCGUUCAUAUUAUUCCGACUGAGUCGACCGAUAUUCGGGAAGGUGCAGUCGGUUUAGUGUAGACCUCCCCUCUCUUUCUCCCUCUCUCUUCGCUUGCCCGCGAAGCAGUUCGCGGCCCGACGUCGUGUUCUAUGCUCUCGAAACGCGGGCGAACGUCGGGCACCGCUCGCGAUCUCGGCCGCGAGAGCUAGGGGACGCGGAGAGGGCGGAGGGCGCGAAGAGGAAGGAGGAAGCGCGCGCUUUUAGUCGGGCACGGCAGCGGGGUUUAUCGAAGGAGCGCGGUUUAGUUCGGAAGGUUUAAAGGGGUUUAGCCGUGGAGAGGGCUUGGGAUCUUGACAGCGGCCGCGUGUAGUUCCUCUACCCAGUCGUCAGGUUUGCCUGCGCGCGCGGCCGUGGAGCACUUCGGGGAGGUGGUCGCGGAGACGAGUGGGGCGGCGGUCGCGUAGAGGACCAGGGCGGCGGCCGCGUAGACGACCAGGGCGGUGGCCGCGUAGACGACCAGAGCGGCCGCGGAUUCAGGUGGGGCGGCGGCCCCUAGGGCGGCCGGAAGGGAAGUUUCGUCUCUUGUUCGUGAACCUAGGGGUGUUCUGGUGUUCUCAGAGACCGCCGAUCAGACGUCGUUGGUUCACUUAGCCCAGGAUGCCGAGUUCCAGGAACGACCCGUGGCGGACGAACGUAGCCACUGAGAUGUAGUGGAACCAUGUACCGACCGUUAUACCUGAUGAGACUAGGUGUUCAGCCGAGUUCCAGGAACGACCCGUGGCGGACGAACGUAGCCACUGAGAUGUAGUGGAACCAUGUACCGACCGUUAUACCUGAUGAGACUAGGUGUUCAUACCCCUCACCUAAGAGUGGGUGGACCACCAAUGGAAUCAAUGAAAGUCUUGUGCCGUAACUAACGAUCCUUCAUAACUAACGUACGUAACCGCUACCCUCUUCACAGGAGAACGUACCUCCCCCGUUAAGUGGGCGCCGCUAAUACCUCAUGGUUGCUACUAGGAUCUUCGGCAACGAAGGGUCCUGGAAGCAUAAACCGUACGAAAAAAACCUCAACGACCCAGUUUAUUACUAGACUUACACGAGUUAGUUAGGGGUGACAAAAAACUACGUAACUUUCCUCUUCGGGGAGUUCAGGUUAAAAGACAGUUACCCUUACUCAUAUGGUGUCCAAUGAUGGAACGACUACCAUAUAUGGGUCUUACCCGACGGAAGUACUUCUGAUAUGGUGAAGGGGUUUAUCUCUUCGUGUUCAACAAACGGGUCUUCGUUCUUCCCCGUUCCUUUCUACAGCUCGCGCGAAAACCCCAUAAUGUCAAGGCAAAAUGGUAACAGGCAGCCGGACGUGCAGAUACCUUCUCUUUCUCACAACCUUCCUAGUACUCCCGAACACACUAAGAGGUGUUAUACUAUUAGCUUCUACUCUCUCUCGUCCGUUUUUAAGUAUAACUGAACUUACUCUAAGGCCCCCGAAGUAAACGAGAUGGAGGGCUUCACUUACAACCACCAUUAGAUACAAAGCGUCUACACAACGCAUCUUUUCGAUGAUAAGCACGAGCAGGUGUCGUACGGGUUGAAUUUUCACUAAAUCAGCUCGUAUAGACCGUAUUCAAAGUUUUGUCGGUAGUAUUAAUUAGUACCACCUUAUAACUAUAGACGUACAAGUAUAAGGAAAAAAAUGACAUUGGAACUAUAGAAUGUACGUAAAAAUAAAGUCCUCACUCGACACUACACCACUAACGCCGUCGACAAUGAAUAUCACCAACUUCCAAUAACUACGUUUACUCACCAACGAGGAAAGGUCACUUCAUGGGAGGUACGAAACACUGAAAACAGUAGCAGGUCUAGUUUUGAUACUAACAACGAACACCAGCACUUGCCGAACAAACGGCCUCUACAAUAGAUAAUACAAACGACUUACGAAAGAAUUUCUGAAUACAUUAGAAUUCAUUAAUGAGUACUACGAUACCUCAUCAUACUACGACACACUGUACAAACCUCAUGAUACUACGACAUACUGUAUACAAACAACGGAUUUACGGUCAGUCAGAAGGAUAAAGGACCAACGUACCUACCGUACAUAUACAUACGAGAAACUUUACUGGUGUUUCUACAACAAAUGAUAUCUAGUGUCGUCUAGUAUACGUGGACGUUCGUUAUUUAUGAAGUAUAAUUUACCUCGGUACGAUUAUCGGUCGGUUUUGCGGUCUGAUGAUAUACUCUCUUCCGAAAUACUACUGUACCGUAACGAUAUAUCGGUCGUCGGCCGACACGAUAAUAGAAACGAAAAUCAAACGCUAGUAUAAAGGUACUAACAUCCCCGGCGCUCUGACCAUCAAGGUUAUGUUCCCGCACCUCAACGGAAUCAAACGCCUGACCAUCAAGGUUAUGGGGAGAGCGAAGUGCCAAUC
rnacentral:rRNA from 1 species